rnacentral:rRNA from 1 species
UACGUGAGGUCCAAGCGUUGUUCGGAAUUACUGGGCGUAAAGCGCUCAUAGGCGGGUGGACAAGUCGAAUUGUGAAAUACCUGGGCUAAACCUGGGAACUGCAGUCGAAACGGUUCAUCUUGAGUGCCUGAGAGGGUGGGGGAAUUCCUGGUGGAGUAGUGAAAUACGUAGAGAUCAAGGAGGAACACCGGAGGCGAAGGCGCCUACCUGGCGGUGCACUGACGCUAAUGAGCGAAAGCGCUGGGGAUCAAACAGG